rnacentral:lncRNA from 1 species
AGAUGCCCUCUUAGGGUUUGAAAUGUGGGGGAAAAAAAAAGAGAAUCACUGCUUAUCUUAGUCUGUUCGGGUAGCUGUAACAAAAUACCAUACCUGAGUGACUUACAAGUAAUAGAAAUGUUAUUUCUCACAUUUCUGGAGUCUGGGAAGCCCAAGAUCAAGGUGCUAGCAGAUUUGGUGUCUGGUAUCUACUGACCUGGUUAUCGCUUCUUCCUUUAAGGAGUAUUAGAACACUGCUGGGGAUGGGCUGACAAACAUACCAGGGAUUUUACUUUGUGUCAGCCAAGAGGCUUUCCUUACCUCCUUGUCUUCAGUACUCUUGUGCACAAGCAUGCUUCUCAGAGAAGGUGGAUUCUACCUUGGAAGGAAAUGAGUCGUUUCCUCCCAUCAGGACAACUGCCACAGCAUGGUGUCAACUCACUCUUGCCUUUCGUAAAUUGAGUUUGUCAGUGCUCAGCGACACAGCUGAGUGAAAUGUUGUGUGAUGCGGGCUGUCUCCUGGGAGAGAGAAACUGGCAUAAACCACAUCCUAAUGGGAUCCAGAAACAAAGAAGCGUGAAUGAAGUGUUAAUUGCAUUCAUAAAGACAUUAACAAAGGAAUUAAAAUGGCAGAAGCUUCAGUCCCCCACUCAAGAUUCACAGAAAAAUAUGUUAUCCAAAGAAUGUUUCAACAAUAAUCAUCAAAGUUUAUUGCUUGCCCAUUGGGGAAAUAACUCUUGAUACAUAUUAACUUUUCAAAGAACAUUUUGGGUCCAUUAUUUUGAGUAUAUUAACUAACAGACAGUUUAUUCCACCCUACCUCCAGUUCUUUGCUUGCUUUUGUAUGAUUUAAGUUUCAAAAAAAUCCAGAGGCAUUUUCAGUGCUGCUUCAUUAACCAUAAGGAUGUCUGUUAACAGUUUGAACCUAAUCAAUCCUACAGUUCUUAUUAGAGCAAAAUGCUCAUUAUCUGGGAGAAUUUUUGCUUUUUGAAAUAAAAUUACAAGACUGGGGGUUUAUUUUACAGUCCCUCUUGAAUAUUCCUGAGAUGAUCUGCAAUGUGGGCAACCCGGGGCUCCCUCCCCAGCCCUGUGGCAGGGCCCCCCAGCUGCUGACAGCGGGGCUAAGCUGGCAAAAGGUCAGGAGGCUGCAUUUCACUGAAGAUGGAUCGCACAGAUGAAUAUUGCGCUUGCUUAAUGAAGUCAAGGCCACGGAUUUGGGGCCUUUUAUGGUUCUUCUUGUUUCACUCAAUUUCACCUUCAUAGACCACGCCACUAAUCCCAGCCAAUCAUUUUGUAGAUAUGUGCAACUGGUGACUAAGGGACUAGAUAAAAGUAAAUGAAUCUAAAAAACAGUGACCAGAAAUUCAGAAAUCUCUGUGCCUAUAACAAACUCAGAAUUAAAAAAAAAAAGCAUGC